AUAAGGAUCAAGCUGAGCGAAUUCUGCAACACGGUCUUGUGGUAAAAAAUGACAAAGAUUAUUCAAUUGUACAUUGAAAGUAUCCAUUAGAGACGUUAUUGAAGAAGUGGCACAUGCUUCCCUAUUAAUAGAGAAAGAACUACUCUUAUCCUGGCUUAUUUGUCUCGUGAUAGUAACCGUUUCAUCGUCACGAUACUUCAUUUCAAUUUCUAUGGUUGCAGUG